AGGAUCCUACGGGGGGCAGCAGUGAGGAAUAUUGGUCAAUGGGAGAGAUCCUGAACCAGCCACGCCGCGUGAGGGAAGACGGCCCUAUGGGUUGUACACCUCUUUUGUCGGAGAACAAAACCCGGGACGUGUCCCGGACUGCGUGUAUCCGAAGAAAAAGCAUCGGCUAACUCCGUGCCAGCAGCCGCGGUAAUACGGAGGAUGCGAGCGUUAUCCGGAUUUAUUGGGUUUAAAGGGUGCGUAGGCGGUCCGUUAAGUCAGCGGAA
rnacentral:rRNA from 1 species